CUUUAGUUAGCAUUUCCAGGCAAAUUUAAAAAUGUCUAUUACAUUUUAAAAAAUAUCUAUUAACUUCAGUCCUUGUAGCUGUCCAAAUUGUAUCCAAAUUACGGGUACACCAUAAAUGCUAACUAUCAUUAUUAGCUACGACAGAUAUUUGGAUAUCUGUCCAAAUAUAAUCAGUGUGCUCAACUUAAGGAGUCAAAUAUCCAUACACAUAACCAAGAAUCUAAAAUGAGUUCCCUACAUUCUAGCCCUGUCAACAGCACCUGCUCAGACACUCUACCAGGGUUAAGCAAACGUAUUAGCACUGGAGCCACCAGGAGCCUUAGAAAAGCAUAGGAAGCACUUGCCCCUCCAGGCUCUGUCCCAGGCACCCUCUGAGAGCCAGACUGAAAACUCAAGUACAUUUCUCCUUUUAUUUUCUUAUUCCUAUCCUUCAUACACACUAGGAAAACAAUUUUGAAAGAUAUAGGAAUUUAAAAGACCAUCAAGUAAACCCCUUAAUGUUAUAGAUUCCCCCUUUCUUUAAAACCCUGUAAGCAUCUGGCACAAUGCUUUCUAAAGUUCACAGUCACCAUUUAGUAAAUUUAAUUGUGGACAAUGUUAACUACCACCCAUGUCAAAUCUCAGUCUGCUACAAACCAAUCGCUUCAAGUAGUCAACAACUGUCAAUGAUCAAAAAUAA
rnacentral:lncRNA from 1 species